UACGGGGGGGGCAAGCGUUGUUCGGAAUUACUGGGCGUAAAGGGCGCGUAGGCGGCAAUUCAAGUCAUCUGUGAAAUCUCCGGGCUUAACCCGGAACGGUCAGAUGAUACUGCUUUGCUAGAGUGCGGAAGGGGCAAUCGGAAUUCUUGGUGUAGCGGUGAAAUGCGCAGAUAUCAGGAGGAACACCGGUGGCGAAGGCGGGUCUCUGGGCCGAUACUGACGCUGAGGAGCGAAAGCGUGGGGAGCGAACAGG
rnacentral:rRNA from 1 species